AACGAACGCUGGCGGCGUGUUUAAGACAUGCAAGUCGCACGGGAUCGGAUAUGUAGCAAUACUUGUCCGGUCCAGUGGCGCACGGGUGAGUAACACGUGAAUGACAUGCCCUGCAGAGGGGGAUAGCCCAGGGAAACUUGGAUUAAUACCCCAUGGUAUCGCGAGAUUAAAGGGUGGCCGCAAGGCUGCCGCUGCGGGAUUGGUUCGCGUUCUAUCAGCUUGUUGGCGGGGUAACGGCCCACCAAGGCUACGACGGAUCCCUGGUCUGAGAGGACGAUCAGGCACACUGGAACUGAGACACGGUCCAGACACCUACGGGUGGCAGCAGUCGAGAAUAAUUCACAAUGGGGGCAACCCUGAUGGUGCAACGCCGCGUGGAGGAUGAAGGUCUUCGGAUUGUAAACUCCUGUCAUCCGGGAGCAAGACCUGGGAGUUAAUAGCUCACAGGGUUGAUAGUACCGGAAGAGGAAGGGACGGCUAACUUCGUGCCAGCCGCCGCGGUAACAC
rnacentral:rRNA from 1 species